rnacentral:rRNA from 1 species
UUCGGAAUGAGUACUACGUGGCGUACGGGUGAGCAACACGUGGAUAAUCUUCCUUCAGGUGGGGAAUAACGAGUCGAAAGAUUCGCUAUACCGCAUAAGACCACAGUAACUUUGGUUACAGGGGUUAAAGACUUCGGUCGCCUUUAGAUGAGUCUGCGUCCGAUUAGCUAGUUGGUGAGGUAAUGGCUCACCAAGGCGACGAUCGGUAACUGGGUCUGAGAGGACGGCCAGUCACACUGGGACUGAGACACGGCCCAGACUCCUACGGGAGGCAGCAGUAGGGAAUUUGCACAAUGGAGGAAACUCUGAUGCAGCGACGCCGCGUGAGUGAUGAAGGCCUUCGGGUCGUAAAGCUCUGUUCUCAGGGAAUAAAAAAUGAAGGUACCUGAGGAAUAAGCACCGGCUAACUCCGUG